CUUGUAUAAUAAUAUAUAUGUAUGUAUGUAAAAUACUUGUAUAAUUUUGAAAUUGGGUUGGGUAAAAUAAAAAUCCAAGUCAUGCAAUAGUUGGGUAGGGGGAAAAAUGGUUGACCGAAAGGGUGGGUGGUUGUUUUUUUCUCUUUUCGAUUAGUUUCUCUUCGGUACCAACCCCGAGUAUAAAUAAUGAACACUCCCUAAUCGUAUUUUACAACUGUAGCAUUGAGUUCAUUACGGACUUUACAGCAUCUUUAAACUCACUAUUACGGCAGAUGGUUCUACUCAUCAACGAGAGCUUGACAUUGAGUACGAAAACUUAAUAACAUUUUUAUUAUCUACAAAUUGUAAUACAUGUUCAGGCCUGUGAGAGACCCUGUGAAACAGGUCAUUGCUUCCAGGUAAAUUUCUGCAAUUUCAGACCAUUCUGGGGAAUAAUUGAUUGAAACAACGUGGACUGUUUUAAAAAUAGUUUGCUUUUGUUACAAAUUGAGAUAAAUAAACAAUGAAUGUAGUUGUAGCUGC